GGGAGUGUAGUUCAGUGGUAGAGCAUCUGCCUUACAUGCAGAAGGUUCCAGGUUCAAUCCCUGGCAUCUUCCG